rnacentral:rRNA from 1 species
AAAUAUUAAUUAUUAUAGAUGUUCCUUUUUCAUUAAUUUUUUUGAGGAUAAGCUCAGAAAAAAGUUAAGAUUUUUUUAAUUAAAAUUGCUAUGUAGGCUUAAAAUUGGCCAUCAUAAAAGUUUGUUAUAAAAUAGUGAUCUUUUAAUUCUAAAAUAAAUAUAUUAUAAUCUAAUUUUUUAUGGGGAUAAAAACCUUAACUGAAACAAGUUUUAUACCUAUGCUAGAAUGAGUAUUAAAAAUCAAUUAUAAAAGAAAUUUAUAUAUAUUUUCUUCAAAGAAAAAUUUUUUAAAAACUAAUUAGUUAGAAGGAAUUCGGCAAGUUUAGUUGCUUCGCCUGUUUAUCAAAAACAUGGCUCUUUGCUAUAUGAAUAUAAAGAGUCGAGCCUGCCCAGUGAAUUUUUAACGGCCGCGGUACUCUGACCGUGCAAAGGUAGCAUAAUCAUUUGCCUUAUAAUUGAAGGCUAGUAUGAAUGGUUUGACGAGAGCAACACUGUCUCCUUUUUAUUUUCAAGAACUUAACUUUUAGGUGAAGAGGCCUAAAUUUUAUUGAAGGACAAGAAGACCCUGUCGAGCUUAAAAGACAUCAUAGGGCUUAAUAUAUUUUUAAAUAAAUUUUCUAUUAGGCUUUUUAGUUGGGGCGACUAAGGAACAAAAAAAGCUUCUUUUUGAUAAUAAACAAUCAUGUUUGGAUCCGGUAGUAAGCGAUUAAAGAAAUUAGUUACCGCAGGGAUAACAGCAUAAUCUCUCUUAAGAGACCUAAUCGAAAGAGGGGGUUGUGACCUCGAUGUUGGACUAGAA